GCAUUGGUGGAUCAGUGGUAGAAUUCUUGCCCUUUCACGUAGGUGACCUGGGUUUGAUUCCUGGCCAAUGUA
rnacentral:tRNA from 1 species